GAACCAUGAAGAGAAGGCGAGAGACAAGCUCGAUGACCCUUCAGCAACCUGCCGCGCGUGCAAACGCGGUAAGGUGCUAAAGCUUGAUCGAUGGGAA
rnacentral:ncRNA from 2 species